AAGGAUGUAAUGCUGGGGCUUUAUAAGGCUUUGGUCAGACUACAUUUGGAGUAUUGUGAGCAGUUUUGAGCCCCAUAUCUAAGGAAGGAUGUGGUGGCAUUGGAGACGGUCCAGAGGAGGUUUGCGAGAAUGAUCCUGGGGAUGAAGGAGUUAACAUAUGAGGAGCGUUUGAUGGCUCUGUGCCUGUACUUGCUGGAAUUUAGAAGGAUGUAGUUGGGGGCGGGUGGGAUCUCAUUGAAACCUACCAAAUAUUGAAAGGCCUGGAUAGAGUGGAUGUGGAGAGGAUGUUUCCAGUAGUGGCCCAGAGGGCACAGCCUCAGAAUAGAAGGAUGUCCCUUUAGAACAGAGAUGAGGAGGAAUUUCUUUGGCCAGGAGUGGUGUGACUCUGGAGUUCAUUGCCACAGAUGGCUGUGGAGGCCAAGUCAUUUGGGUAUAUUUAAAGUUGAUUAUUAAGGCUGUCAAAGGUUGUGGGGAGAAGGCAGGCUAAUUGGGUUGAGAGGGAAAAAUAAAUCAGCCAUGAUUGAAUGGCGGAGCAGACUUGAUGGGCCAAAUGGUCUAAUUCCAUUCCUAUGUCUUAUGGAUAUGUUUGGAAUUUAGUACUUUGCUCACUGUAACUUGUGGUUGAUUUUACAUUAUUGUUUGGAAUUAAAACACUGGUCAGUUAGAUGCAGUAUGUAUUUUUGAUGGUGAUUAAUUUCUACACUGUUACCAGUGGUGCAAUCAGUACUUCACUCUUGACUCUAAAUGUCAAGCAUAAGAUGUUCUUUAGGUCAAAUUGAUGUUUGGCUUGUUUAAAUUUUUAAUUCAAAGCAAAACUACAGAUGGUGAAAACAAUAUGCCAGAACCACUUAGCUAGUCAAGGAGAAUCUUUGAAGAGAGAAACAGUUAAUAUUUCAGGUCAAUAGGCCAGUGACCCAUGUGUCACCACAGAUGCUGCUUGAUUUUUUUUUUCACUCUCAUUGAUAAUGACACAACCUAAUUAAUUUACUGUUUAGGGUUAAAGUACAUUUACUGUUUAUUCAUUCUUUCCUAAGCCUGAUUUGGACUCUGCAGUUAGACAUGCCAAAUUGUGCUUCUUUCCCCCAGGAACGUUCCAUACCGCAUUCGUGUGCGUUUAUCUAGAAAACGUAAUGAGGAUGAGGACUCUCCUAACAAACUCUACACAUUGGUAACCUAUGUUCCUGUCACAUCAUACAAAGGUUUACAGACAGUCAAUGUUGAUGAAAACUGAGUCCCAAAUUGUCUACAAAAAAAAAUAAAGUGACUUGACUUUU